rnacentral:rRNA from 1 species
AUUGAACGCUGGCGGCAGGCCUAACACAUGCAAGUCGAGCGGAUGAAGGGAGCUUGCUCCUGGAUUCAGCGGCGGACGGGUGAGUAAUGCCUAGGAAUCUGCCUGGUAGUGGGGGAUAACGUCCGGAAACGGGCGCUAAUACCGCAUACGUCCUGAGGGAGAAGGGGGGGGACCUUCGAACCCCACGCAACCAGAUAACCCUAGGUCGGAUUAGCUAGUUGGUGGGGUAAAGGCCUACCAAGGCGACGAUCCGUAACUGGUCUGAGAGGAUGAUCAGUCACACUGGAACUGAGACACGGUCCAGACUCCUACGGGAGGCAGCAGUGGGGAAUAUUGGACAAUGGGCGAAAGCCUGAUCCAGCCAUGCCGCGUGUGUGAAGAAGGUCUUCGGAUUGUAAAGCACUUUAAGUUGGGAGGAAGGGCAGUAAGUUAAUACCUUGCUGUUUUGACGUUACCAACAGAAUAAGCACCGGCUAACUUCGUG